rnacentral:sRNA from 2 species
GAACCUGCAGCAGGUUCGAGUUGAGCGCAGCGAAACAACGGAGCCGCUCGCGGCGACGGCCCGAAGGGCGAGCGAAGCGAGUCAUCCUGCACGACCCACCA